CACCUCUCAGAGUCACCUCUGGAGAGUUUCCCGUACUCUACCAGUCUCGACUACAGGAGGGAGAGUCAAGCAGGGGCCUACUCAUUCCAUUCCUAGCUUGGGCAGUGGCUAGCGAGUGGAAGGCAAUCUGCUAUAAGG